UCCUUUAGCUACGGAGCCGCACAUGUGCGCUGUGACCUGCACCAAAUCUUCAGCCUCAUGUGAAAGCUCUCCGAGCCUGCAACAGCGCCUGCUGCCCCGGGGGGCUGGAUGGCAGCCCUGGGCCUCGCGGCCGAUCCGCGGGACGUGCUGCAUGGCCAGCAGCAGAUUUCGGUCAGUCCCAGCGGCUCCUGUCCCGCAGACACAGGAGCAAUGGCAAACAUCUCCAAGUGCUCCUCGCUCUCGCUCCUCUUUGCUGAGCAUCCACCUUGCAAGUUCCCCGGUGCAGGUGGGUGUUCGGCUCCUAUCUGGCUUUGCUUCAACGCAGCCUCUGCUGCCGGGAAACUUGCUGAUACUGCCUUUGUGGUCUGCUGCUUCCCACGUCCCUGCUACCCGGCAGGGCCUCGCAGGGAGCAGGAAAGAGGAGCAAUGGCUGGAGCAAGCUACAGAUCAAGGCCACCGCAGGUGUCGGGGAGGAACAGCAGACCCUGCCAUCUGGAGCAGGAAUGGAUGCCCUUUUGGCAGCAAGGGCUCAGGCGUUUGGUGCUUGCUGGGCAUGGAUGUGGCCCCGACCAGUGGGCCCGGAGGCCUGCAGUGUGUCUUGGCCAGCUGCAAGCUGGAGUAAAGUCCACUAUCACAUCGGAUUGGCAAGAGGCAAUCGGGAAUGUGCAUCAUGGGUUUUGAUCAGCUGGAAGAAUCUCAGUCCUCCAGAGAUAAACCAGAAACAGCUUUGUUCCCACGGCGAACAAGCAGCUGCCACUGCCCGAGGUCCUUAGGAUGGCACGAAUGGGUGAGCUGUGUCUGGACCAUGCUUGCGUGGCCUCUGCCCUGACACCACCACCUGACCCAGUGCCGGCUCCUUCCCGUCUGCCAAACGCACCGGCCUCACAGAGAGUUUGGGGGGUUCCAGGCUGGCAUGAAGCUGGAGGCUGGGUGAUAAACACUGCUGUAAUGCAGUGGUGAAAGUGUCAUGAAUGUCUUGAGGUCAGCACCAGCAUCCUGUUGUCCCCUCUCCUGAGCACAAUGGGGCUGCGGAGCCUCUCCCAGAAUCCAGAUUUAUAUAUCUUCCAGAAAUGGAUUUGCUGCCUUCCCGAGCCAGCUCUUCCAGCAUUUACUGCCCUCCUGCUAGCAUCUUUUAUCUUUUUCCCAGGAUGAAUUUUUCUAACUUCUGCAUUCGGCUUUGAGCUCUUGUGUACUUCUCUGCAAGACUGAGACUACCAAACUGUCAAGAACUCUUCUCACAGAGACCAGGGCAUCUCUCAAUCUUCUCUUCAGCAAGCUGAACAGUGUGUACACUUCCAGUCUCAUACCAGAGCUUGUUUUCUGAUGCCUGGAUUGUACAUUUGGCUUUCCCUUGCAGAAUUUCUGUGUUCUUUUUAAUUCUGGACACUCACCUUGGAAAUAACAUCGCAGUGGUGCAAUAACAGUGCCAUGAGCAGAGCAAAUCCAGGGAGGGAGAAGGAGCAGGGGAGAAAAGAGAGGCAUUUGUGCACAUGCAAGUCCCUGCAGCGAACUCCUAUGUGCUUUGGCAUCGCUCCGAGGGACGUGGCGCUUCCCUGCUCCGAGCACCCGUCGCUGCUUCGUGAGCUGGAGGCUGCUCGGGGAAAGGCUUUGUUCUGGCAGAAAAUUCACUUCCCCCAGCAGUCGCUGCAAAGACCAUGGGUGCCAGGUUAGCCUGGCUGCGUCUUCCUCAGCAGCGACAUGGAGAGGGCUUGCGAUGGGCCGGCAGCUGGCGCAGGCUGGAGACGUAUGGCUCAUGAAGGUCAUUCCUGUGGCCCUGUCGCCUUCCCCGGCUGUGCCCUAAGCCUCCGUCACCCUCGUGCCUCCAUCACCCUCCUGCAUCCAUCACCAUCGUGCCUCCAUCACCCUCCUGCAUCCGUGACCGUGCUGCCUCUGGGGAACAGGCUGUGCAAAGGGCAGGAGCUUCAGUUUUGCUUUUCUUCCACACUUUGGGAUUGCUCCCAGGGGAAUUUGCCGCCUCCCCCGGACCUGGCUCCCCAGUCCCUCCGAACUGGGAGCCCACGGCUUGGCAGAGCGCUUUUCUCACCAGGGAAAUGGCCCUGCUUCUCCUUGCUCAGGGCAGUGUCCAGGCUCACCCUUGGUGCCCGGAGAAGGGAGGUUUCUGGGGAAAACCAGAGCUGAUAAGCCAGCAACGCUGCCAGUUGCCCGGCCUGCGGGGUCAUCUCUAUCCGCUCGGCCUCUCAGAAACCCCUCCAGCCCAUUUUGAGCCCUGGGUCUGAGCAUGGGAACGGGGCUGCUGGGCCUGGCCUGCAGGCCCUGCCUGCCCUGGCGUUUUUGGCACACUGCCCCCUCCACUCCAGAGCUCAGAAUGAAUCUCUGAAAUUAUGUCAGUGCCUGGUCAGGAAAAAAAGGAUUAUACGCUGCUUCCUUGAGGAAAGGGACUGCUGGAGGCGCAAAACUGAAGUGGCGACCUCGGAAGAGACCACCCAGGGGUUGCCAGACACGAAGGUCUCUUGAAGAUGAAGAGAAAAGGUUCAGGUAGGGGAUUAGCAGGUGGGAUUAAUGGCUCAGCAGCUCUUGAAAUGGAUCUAACCACCUUUUAAAACAGCUCCGUUGCAGCUCCGUGCAAUGAGGAAUUGCUCCUUGUCGGGUUUAAUUAUGCCUCAUAACAAUUCCUCGUUCGCUGCAAGCAGUGGCUGUCUGCGCUCGCCUCCCCCGGGACGGCCAGGCUGGGUGUCCUCGGUCCCCGCCGGGUGCUUGGCCGUCACCCCCUGGGACGCCGGCUCCAGGGCGGGGGGAGGCUGGAGCCGGGGGUGGGAGCAAAAGUUCAUUUGGAAAUGCAGAGAAAUGCAACUCAUCAAUCAAAAUUCUUUCAUCAGUGAAGAGAAUUAAUUUUAAGCACCAUUUGAUUUUAAAGAGCUGGAGUCUGCAGCCACCAGAGACUCCAGAUCGAGUGCAAAUGCAGCUUCUCAAAAGCGAGUGAUUGAGAGCUGAGAGGCUGUUAUUAGGCUGUUCCCUGGCUCCUUCCCUCCUCGCUUUCCUCCUCCGGCCUCCCCAAGUUGGGGAGGGCUGCGGGAGCCGCUGCCCGGCCACCCUGCCGUCUGUGCAAGGUCGUGCCCGCGGGAGCGAACGCAUUCCCGGACUUGAUUCCCGAAUUUUCCUGACGUUGCCAGGACACAGCGUCCUCACCAUCCUCCUCCCCGGCCCUCGGAGGAGUGACCCGGCCACCAAGCACCAUCUCCAGGCAGUCUGUCCCCGCGAAGCGCGCGGGCAACUCCUGUGUGGCCACACGUGGGAUGCAGGUCCUCCCCGGGCCAGGACGACCCGCCGUGGGCCGCUGAACCCGUGCGCCCACCCCGCCGAGCCAGCACGUGGCUGGGGAGCCUGGGCUGAUUUUGUGCGCGCCAGUGUGUCAAGCGACGUUAGCCAGCUAUUUCCUUAACAAGUUGCGAAUGUUCCCAAACAGUUGUGCUAGAUCCCUGCGCGCUGGCUCCCGCGGCGUUAUAUAAACUGCUGACAGACACUGCAGAGCGGAGAUUUCAUGCCUUCCCUCCAACCCCCCGAGCAGCUGUGGUGCAGACGCGAGGUAAAGUUUAGCAGUAUGGACAGUGCUGCCAGGAGCACCAACAGCUCUGAUCCAACCGCGCUUCAAGGGCUUUUCACUUUGCUGUGACUUUUCACGGGUAGGAGAACUCCCAAACUCGCAGAAGGAACCGUGGUCAGUGUUCAAAGGAGCAAGCUCUGCCGGACGUUUCCCGUCUCCUCUCAAACACCAUUAAAACCGGAAAAGGAGCUGCUCCAAAUCUGACUCAAACGAUCUGCAAAUGGGACAGUAUGAACAUGAAAACAGUCAUGCUGAGCUGGGCGAAGGCGCUGUGCAGACCUGUCCGCCGGUCUCUGGCUCACAGACAGGCCGUGAAGGAGUGAGCAUGGGGCAGGUGUGCAGUGACCCCCCCCGUUGCUCUCCACCCUGCCAAGCAACCAUGAGUUCCACAGUUGAGUUGUAAGGUGUAAGAAAAUAUUUCCUUUUCUUCAUCUUGAACCCCUUGCCUAAUCAUAUAAUUGGGGUGCCCUUCUUUGUUAGCGAAUACCGAUGAAGCAUGAGGCCACUGUCGGCUGGGUGGUUGCAACUUCACAGACCACUCUCGUGGCCCCACCAAGAUGCCUCUUCUUCAAGCUGAGGAGUCCUAAUCUAUUUAAUUUCUUCUCAAGUAAAAAUCUCACCAUAGCUUGCUCAUCCUUGCUAUCCUGGUCUGGGUGAUGUCUGGCUAUACCCGGGCCCUUACUGAGCCGAGGCCACCACAGCUGGAUGCGCUGCUCUGGCCAGGAGUUCACUGCACCUUCACGUGGUGCUUGGUGGUGCUUCUGUUCGGUGUUCAAUAUUGCUGAACAUCCCUUCCUUUUUGACCUUAGCUGAUGCUUUCAGAGAAGAAUCCACGGGAACUCCAAGAUCUCUUCUCCGAAGGGCAAUUUAAAGCCCUUCACUGUGCACGGGCACCGAGGGUUAUUUUUUCAGCGUGUGUGCCGUUUUGCUUCGUCUGGUUGCGUUUCAUCUGCCCUCCCACCGCCUGGUUUCUGAGUCCGGUGAGGUCCUUCCGCAGCGCGUCGCUGCCCCUCACGGCCGCGCGCUCAGCGGCACCGCGUCGCCCUGCGCCCCACGCCAGCACCCCGGUGGGGGUGAGGAGGCGAGCGGCAGCGGGCGCUCCUUCCCUGUGGGGCUGCCGCAGCGACAGGCUCCCAGCAGAGAUCCUGCUGUGUUUUGGGAGUCAGUGGGAGCUGCAACGUGAAUGCUCAACCGGUGCUCUGCUCUCAUCCUGCAGCCCCACGUCUGCGCCUCGCUCGCCGUCCCUGCUCCCCUCUGCCGGGGCCUCUCCGGAAGGCGUCCCUGAUGCAUCUCCCUGCAGCAGCCUCAGAUGUUUGUUUUUUUUUUUCCCCUUCCCACCUGGUUUUGCUGCUUUGCAGCCUCCCACCAGGGAUCAUUGCCUACCUCUUUGCCACCAAAGACACAACCGGGCCACGCGUGUCCGACGUGACCGCAAGGCAUGACAUGACCAUGAGGUCAGGGCAGCCAGGUGAGCAGCUGCCCCGUGGUGCCAAAGGGAAAAAUGCGUGUGGAUUUUGAAAAGCUGGAUGUUGAGCCCACAGCAGGGCAAGGGCACCUGAAGGCCCCUCUUUUGGGGGGCGCCGCUUCCCUGCGGAGCAGGGCGGGAGGGCCCCACAUUGCGCCGGGAGCAGGGAGGGAGGGAUUUGCACCGGAGGCACUUGCUCCUUGGGAUGCCUGGGAUGCCUGAGCCUCGGAGGCUGUUUGCACACCCCUCUCUUAUCUGCGCCCUGGCGGCAGCGGCGCCGUGGGGCCCCUUUCCAGACAAGCAGGUUCUCGGAGGUAGCGGGGAGCUCAGCGCCAGCCCUGCACCCUCCCCGCAGCCCUGGCUGGGGCAAGGGCAGCAGCGCAGGGGCAGGGGUGACCCUGGGGACGGGGCAGCGCCAGCAUCAGUGCAGCAGCGGGGCACUGCAGGCAGCCUGCGCCCAGCAUCCUCCCGCUCUGCCUCCCGCUGCCGCCCUUCGCCCAUCAGCUCCCUGACUGCACUGCUGCUUCCUCCCUGGGUUAUUCCUAAGUGAUGUGGCACCCGUUGCAGAGCCCAGAGGAGCCCGCCACUGCCCUCCCCAGGGACGACAGCUGCCCGUUCAUCCCUCCCCGGCGUCUGUCUCGCAGCGAGCCUUUGAUCCGUGGUGAUGCUUUGCCUCUCGCUCCACGACAACUUAAUUUCUAUAGUAACCUCCUGUGCUGGAUCUCGUCGAAAGGCCUUUUGAAAAUCUGAAUAAACUACGUUGAGUGGC